AGCUGCAGUCGAGAUCUUUCGCAUGGGCGAAGCCUGACCAAGCGACGCUGUGUGAGCGAUGAAGGCCUUCGGGUCGUAAAGCUCUUUCGCCUGGGAACAGAKAGAGCGGUGAAGAACAGAUCCAUUUGAGCGUWCCAGGUAAAGAAGCACCGGCUAACUCC
rnacentral:rRNA from 1 species